rnacentral:rRNA from 1 species
ACGGGGUAGGAAUACCUCGGUGACGUACCCCCAGGUCGGGGAUAGCGGCGGGAAACUGCCGGUAAUACCCGAUGAUCUUCCUUGAUUUUAGUUUUGGGGAAGCAAAGGUGUGAUUCCGUCUGGGGAGCGGCUGAGGUCGUAUUAGCUAGUUGGUAAGGUAACGGCUUACCAAGGCGAUGAUGCGUAGGGGGUGUGAGAGCAUGGCCCCCACCACUGGCACUGAGACACUGGCCAGACACCUACGGGUGGCUGCAGUCGAGAAUCUUCGGCAAUGGGCGCAAGCCUGACCGAGCGACGCCGCGUGCGGGAUGAAGGUCUUCGGAUUGUAAACCGCUGUCGGAGGGGAUGAAGUGUAGAUGGGUACUCCCAUCUAUUUGACAGAGCCUCGGAGGAAGCACGGGCUAAGUUCGUGCCAGCAGCCGCGGUAAUACGAACUGUGCGAACGUUAUUCGGAAUCACUGGGCUUAAAGGGUGCGUAGGCGGCGGCACAAGUCAGGUGUGAAAUCCCCCGGCUCAACCGGGGAACAGCGCUUGAAACUAGGUCGCUCGAGUGAGGUAGGGGUGUAUGGAACUUCCGGUGGAGC